rnacentral:rRNA from 1 species
AUUGAACGCUAGCGGGAUGCUUUACACAUGCAAGUCGAACGAGUCGCGGACGGGUGAGUAAUAUAUCGGAACGUCCCCAGUAGCGGGGGAUAACUACUCGAAAGAGUGUCUAAUACCGCAUACUAUUGGAGCUGCCUAUAUGGGAUGAGCUAGUUGGUGGGGUAAAGGCUCACCAAGGCCACGAUCCGUAGCUGGUUUGAGAGGAGGACCAGCCACACUGGGACUGAGACACGGCCCAGACUCCUACGGGAGGCAGCAGUGGGGAAUUUUGGACAAUGGGGGAAACCCUGAUCCAGCCAUCCCGCGUGUAUGAGAAGGCCUUAGGGUUGUAAAGUACUUUUGGCAGAGAAGCGGUAUCUGCAGAAGAAGCACCGGCUAACUACGUGCCAGCAGCCGCGGUAAUAC